UACAGAGGGUGCAAGCGUUAAUCGGAAUUACUGGGCGUAAAGCGUGCGUAGACGGUCAUGUAAGUCGGGUGUGAAAGCCCCGGGCUCAACCUGGGAAUUGCAUUCGAGACUGCAUGGCUAGGGUGCGGAAGAGGGAAGCGGAAUUUCCGGUGUAGCGGUGAAAUGCGUAGAUAUCGGAAGGAACACCAGUGGCGAAAGCGGCUUCCGUGGUCCAGCACCGACGUCAGGCACGAAAGCGUGGGGAGCAAAGCAGG
rnacentral:rRNA from 1 species